rnacentral:rRNA from 1 species
GACGUAGGGUGCGAGCGUUGUCCGGAUUUAUUGGGCGUAAAGAGCUCGUAGGCGGCUCGUCGCGUCGACCGUGAAAACCCGCAGCUUAACUGCGGGCUUGCGGUUGAUACGGGCGGGCUAGAGUUCGGUAGGGGAGACUGGAAUUCCUGGGUGUAGCGGUGAAAUGCGCAGAUAUCAGGAGGAACACCGGUGGCGAAGGCGGGUCUCUGGGCCGAUACUGACGCUGAGGAGCGAAAGCGUGGGGGAGCGAACAGG